AUUCCUAGUGUAGCGGUGAAAUGCGUAGAUAUUAGGAGGAACACCAGUUGCGAAGGCGGAUCUCUGGACUGUAACUGACGCUUAGGCACGAAAGCGUGGGGAGCAAAAAGGAGUAGAUACCCUGGUAGUCCAAGCUGUAAACGAUGAGUACUAUGUGUCGGGGGUUACCCCCUUCGGUGCCGCAGCUAACGCAUUAAGUACUCCGCCUGGGAAGUACGCUCGCAAGCGUGAAACUCAAAGGAAUUGACGGGGACCCGCACACGUAGCGGAGCAUGUGGUUUAAUUCGAAGCAGCGCGAAGAACCUUACCUAAGCUUGAAAUCCCAAUGACAUCUCAUUCAUAGGGGAGUUCCCUUAGGGGCAAUGUGUGGCAGGUUGUGACUGGUAGACGGUGGCUCUGGUCGUGAGUUGUUGGGU
rnacentral:rRNA from 1 species